rnacentral:lncRNA from 1 species
AUCGAACUCAAGACCUUGCACUUGCCAGGCAGGCGUGGUGCCACUCAGCUAAAUCCCCAGCCCUGCAUGUCAGUGUUUAACAACCAGAACAGCUGAACCCACCACACUGUGGUCCAGAACUUCAAAGUCAUCUUCAAGGGCUGUGCUGCCACCACCACAGGGAGGAAACACUGACUGCAUUUCAGAGCUUUCUUCUCUUUCUCUAGAUAUAGGCCGCCCUGGACUCUCCCGUCCUGAGAGCCUGAGACCUCCAGGCCUCCCUAUGAUCAAGUGUAAGAAACAGCUCAAUUAAAAGUGCAGACCGACGUACGUGUGCAAACACAACCCCCAGAGGACGGAAGUUUCAGUAACCCUGAAAGACUUUCUGCAUUUUUAUCUAAAGCCUUUUCCAUGGAAAUCAAUUUCAUGGACUUGGUAAUGUGCACAAGCGCUUCAUGAUAGAGACUGUGACAUUUCAUGGAAAAUGUCUAACCCCCAUUAUUCCCCCGGCCCUUUAUCUCCUACCAUUUGGUGAUAAUGUACCGUAGUAAACACGCCUCAGAUACAAAUCAAUAGUGAUAAAUGUCUCCU